UGGGGAAUCUUGCGCAAUGGGCGAAAGCCUGACGCAGCGACACCGCGUGGGGGAUGAAGGCCUUUCAGGUCGUAAACCCCUUUCGGCAGGGACGAAGCGAUCUCGUGACGGUACCUGCAGAAGAAGCCUCGGCUAACUACGUGCCAGCAGCCGCGGUAACACGUAGGAGGCGAGCGUUGUCCGGAAUCAUUGGGCGUAAAGAGCGCGCAGGCGGCUUGGCAAGUCGGGUGUGAAAUCCCGGGGCUCAACCCCGUGACUGCAUCCGAUACUGUCAGGCUAGAGGUAGGUAGGGGAGAUCGGAAUUCCUGGUGUAGCGGUGAAAUGCGCAGAUAUCAGGAGGAACACCGGUGGCGAAGGCGGAUCUCUGGGCCUUACCUGACGCUCAGGCGCGAAAGCUAGGGGAGCGAACAG
rnacentral:rRNA from 1 species